CGCUGGCGGCGUGCCUAACACAUGCAAGUCGAACGGACGAGAUUUCUUCGGAGAUCGAGUUAGUGGCGAACGGGUGAGUAACGCGUGAGCAACCUGCCUUUCAGUAGGGGGACAACAGUUGGAAACGACUGCUAAUACCGCAUAACGUAUCGAGGGGGCAUCCCCAUGAUACCAAAGAUUUAUCGCUGAAAGAUGGGCUCGCGUCUGAUUAGAUAAUUGGUGAGGUAAUGGCUCACCAAGUCGACGAUCAGUAGCCGGACUGAGAGGUUGAACGGCCACAUUGGGACUGAGAUACGGCCCAGACUCCUACGGGAGGCAGCAGUGGGGAAUAUUGGGCAAUGGGGGAAACCCUGACCCAGCAACGCCGCGUGAAGGAAGAAGGCUUUCGGGUUGUAAACUUCUUUUACCAGGGACGAAGACGUGACGGUACCUGGAGAAAAAGCCACGGCUAACUACGUG
rnacentral:rRNA from 1 species